GUCAAUGCCAGUGGCCCGCAUCGACAAUUGCCCAAUAAUCCACAAGAGAUCAAGAGAGGAACGCAUCGAACAUAUUUCAUCCGCCAACUCAUAAGACAGCAGCAUGUCGUUAAUGUCAACAUACAAUAUGGCAUAAAUACUCGUAUGUUCAAUAUUUAUGGCUAUUUCGAAUUUCUAUAUACAAGUAAAUGACAAACAAAGAAAAUCAAUAACGAUUUGCAUAAUUUUCAACAUUUCACGCUGCCUAAUUCGGUUUUGGGGAUUGGGAAUGGGAACUCGAAUUGGAAUUGGAAUUGGAACCGAUAUAAAAAAGAGUAGAAAGAAAGAAACAAACAAAAAUACAAAAAACCGCCAACGAAAAUUUACGAAACUGUCAACGGGCACAAUCUUGGGUCAUUUCAAAUGAUGUAAUAUAAAUAAACGGCGACUAAUCAGGUUUUAAACUUUAAGCGAAAUUGUAACACAAAUCGCCGAUAGUAAAUAUGAAUUUGUAAUAAACUAAAAAUUGGACUCAAACUGAAGAAAUGUGCAUACAUUAAAAUGCAAACCAAAACCAAAAACCGAAA